rnacentral:lncRNA from 1 species
AGUGAAGCAUGAAGACAAGAAAGAAAGCUGACCAAUUUGGGGAAUCUAGUCCAUGCUCCGCUGCUCUCUUACAAAGGUGAAGAGGGACUUACUGAUGACAGUCACAGUGGUAGAAGAACCCCAAUAGCUUUGGAAUAACCCCAAAGCCAGAGGAUUUUCUCCUCCUUUCCUAUGGCGUGGCCCCUUCAGGAACGUUUGCAUUCAGCAUCAUUCUAGAGCAACAUGGCAACCUGGAAAUACAGCAGUGGAUGAAAUCAUAAUUGCCCAUGUUAAAGAAGAGGUUUAAGUAUAUGGGCCUGAGAUACUAUUCUUGGUUUCCAGGGCCUAUAUUUGGAGUGCAAGGGUUCUGGAAGUUUCUGUAUGUCCUGGAAGUAAUGUGGAUGUGGUAAGAGAACUGGAAAAGAGCAGAGAUCAGGAAGCAGAGGCUGAAGAGUGAGAAGAACACCAGCACUAGAGGCCACCACUGGGAGGUCAGCAGGGGAGAAGUACAGAACCUGAGAGAACAGAUGAAUUCAGCAGUGCUUCAUGGUAUGAACACAGGCUCAGCAUGUUUGUGACCAACUGGGUCCAUCCAGACCACAGCAGGGGCCACCAGGACAGGGGAGGGUGGCAGACCAGGUGCUACUUCAUGCAACAGGUCACUGAGCCUGCUUGAGACAUUAUAUCUGAGAAGACAAGUAGAAAGAAGAAAAAGGUGAAGACUGUAUAACAAAUUCUUCAAAUUGCUCGGGGUUAUUUAGUGGCCAGUGAAAACUGUGAUCUAUACUGAUUAUCUGAAGAAACUUUCGUGUGUAGAUAUCAAUAAAAUGUGUGUCAAGAAUGGAA